rnacentral:tRNA from 1 species
GCUUAGCUCCAGUGGUAGAGCACCUGCUUGGUAUGUAGAAGGUCUCAGGUUCCAUCCCUAGCAUUUCCA